AACGAACGCUGGCGGCAUGCCUAACACAUGCAAGUCGAACGAAUGAUUCUCUAGCUUGCUAGAGGAAAGUUAGUGGCAAACGGGUGAGUAACACGUGGGAAUCUACCUGGUAGUACGGAAUAACAGUUAGAAAUGACUGCUAAUACCGAAUAAGCUCUUCGGAGGAAAGAUUUAUCGCUAUCAGAUGAGCCCGCGGUAGAUUAGGUAGUUGGUAGGGUAAUGGCCUACCAAGCCUGCGAUCUAUAGCUGGUCUGAGAGGACGAUCAGCCACACUGGAACUGAGACACGGUCCAGACUCCUACGGGAGGCAGCAGUGGGGAAUAUUGGACAAUGGGCGCAAGCCUGAUCCAGCAAUGCCGCGUGAGUGAUGAAGGGCCUUAGGGGUUGUUAAAGGCUCUUUCAGUAGGGAAGAUAAUGACGGUACGUACAGAAGAAGACCCCGGCUAACUCCGUG
rnacentral:rRNA from 1 species